rnacentral:rRNA from 1 species
AUUGAACGCUGGCGGCAGGCCUAACACAUGCAAGUCGAACGAGUGGCGGACGGGUGAGUAAUGUCUGGGAAACUGCCUGAUGGAGGGGGAUAACUACUGGAAACGGUAGCUAAUACCGCAUACCAUCAGAUGUGCCCAGAUGGGAUUAGCUUGUUGGUGGGGUAACGGCUCACCAAGGCGACGAUCCCUAGCUGGUCUGAGAGGAUGACCACCCAAACGGGAACUAUGCCACGGCCCAGACGCCUACGGGAGGCAGCAGGGGGAAAUAUUGCACAAUGGGGGAAAGCCGGAUGCAGCCAUGCCGCGUGUAUGAAGAAGGCCUUCGGGUUGUAAAGUACUUUCAGCGGGGAGGCGUUACCCGCAGAAGAAGCACCGGCUAACUCCGUGCCAGCCGCCGCGGUAAUAC